CUAUUCUGUUAAUUAGAGGGGGUAGAUCUAUUCUGUUAAUUAGAAGGGGUAGAUCUAUUCUGUUAAUUAGAAGGGGUAGAUCUAUUCUGUUAAUUAGAAGGGGUAGAUCUAUUCUGUUAAUUAGAAGGGGUAGAUCUAUUCUGUUAAUUAGAAGGGGUAGAUCUAUUCUGUUAAUUAGAAGGGGUAGAUCUAUUCUGUUAAUUAGAAGGGGUAGAUCUAUUCUGUUAAUUAGAGGGGGUAGAUCUAUUCUGUUAAUUAGAAGGGGUAGAUCUAUUCUGUUAAUUAGAAGGGGUAGAUCUAUUCUGUUAAUUAGAAGGGGUAGAUCUAUUCUGUUAAUUAGAAGGGGUAGAUCUAUUCUGUUAAUUAGAAGGGGUAGAUCUAUUCUGUUAAUUAGAGGGGGUAGAUCUAUUCUGUUUAUUAGAGGGGGUAGAUCUAUUCUGUUAAUUAGAAGGGGUAGAUCUAUUCUGUUAAUUAGAGGGGGUAGAUCUAUUCUGUUUAUUAGAGGGGGUAGAUCUAUUCUGUUAAUUAGAGGGGGUAGAUCUAUUCUGUUAAUUGGAGGGGGUAGGCCUCUUCUGUUAAUUGGAGGGGGUAGAUCUCUUCUGUUAAUUGGAGGGGGUAGGCCUCUUCUGUUAAUUGGAGGGGGUAGGCCUCUUCUGUUAAUUGGAGGGGGUAGAUCUCUUCUGUUAAUUG